UGGGGAAUAUUGCGCAAUGGGGGGAACCCUGACGCAGCCAUGCCGCGUGAAUGAAGAAGGCCUUCGGGUUGUAAAGUUCUUUCGGUAUUGAGGAAGGUUGAUGUGUUAAUAGCACAUCAAAUUGACGUUAAAUACAGAAGAAGCACCGGCUAACUCCGUGCCAGCAGCCGCGGUAAUACGGAGGGUGCGAGCGUUAAUCGGAAUAACUGGGCGUAAAGGGCACGCAGGCGGUUAUUUAAGUGAGGUGUGAAAGCCCCGGGCUUAACCUGGGAAUUGCAUUUCAGACUGGGUAACUAGAGUACUUUAGGGAGGGGUAGAAUUCCACGUGUAGCGGUGAAAUGCGUAGAGAUGUGGAGGAAUACCGAAGGCGAAGGCAGCCCCUUGGGAAUGUACUGACGCUCAUGUGCGAAAGCGUGGGGAGCAAGGGAUUAGAUACCCUGGUAGUCCACGCUGUAAACGCUGUCGAUUUGGGGGUUGGGGUUUAACUCUGGCGCCCGUAGCUAACGUGAUAAAUCGACCGCCUGGGGAGUACGGCCGCAAGGUUA
rnacentral:rRNA from 1 species